rnacentral:rRNA from 1 species
UACGGGGGGUCCAAGCGUUGUUCGGAAUCACUGGGCGUAAAGCGCAUGUAGGUGGCUUUUCAAGUCAACUGUGAAAGCCCCGGGCCUAACCCGGGAAGUGCAGUUGAUACUGUUGAGCUUGAGUACGAGAGAGGAUAGUGGAAUUCCUGGUGUAGUGGUGAAAUACGUAGAUAUCAGGAGGAACAUCGGUGGCGAAGGCGGCUAUCUGGCUCGAUACUGACACUGAGAUGCGAAAGCGUGGGGAUCAAACAGG